rnacentral:rRNA from 1 species
GAUGAACGCUGGCGGCGUGCCUAAUACAUGCAAGUCGAGCGAACGGACGAGAAGCUUGCUUCUCUGAUGUUAGCGGCGGACGGGUGAGUAACACGUGGAUAACCUACCUAUAAGACUGGGAUAACUUCGGGAAACCGGAGCUAAUACCGGAUAAUAUUUUGAACCGCAUGGUUCAAAAGUGAAAGACGGUCUUGCUGUCACUUAUAGAUAGAUCCGCGCUGCAUUAGCUAGUUGGUAAGGUAACGGCUUACCAAGGCAACGAUGCAUAGCCGACCUGAGAGGGUGAUCGGCCACACUGGAACUGAGACGCGGUCCAGACUCCUACGGGAGGCAGCAGUAGGGAAUCUUCCGCAAUGGGCGAAAGCCUGACGGAGCAACGCCGCGUGAGUGAUGAUGGUCUUCGGAUCGUAAAACUCUGUUAUUAGGGAAGAACAUAUGUGUAAGUAACUGUGCACAUCUUGACGGUACCUAAUCAGAAAGCCACGGCUAACUACGUG